rnacentral:lncRNA from 1 species
GAGAGAGAGAGAGAGAGAGAAAAGAAUGCAUAUGAUUUUAUAUUUGGAUUUACUUACCUUGGCUUGGUUAUACAUGCAACUGUGUGAAGCACAUCACCUGGCCGUGGAACAGAUCCAAAGGCUAUUCCAUGAGGAAAUAAGGAAAUUUUAUUAUAGAAAAGGAAUGAUCUUAAAAUGAAACUGAAAAAAAAAAAAACAAAAUUUCAAUGUCCUGAUAUUGCCUUCUGUUUAGAACUAUAUAUCAUUAGCUAAAUGAAGAAAUAUUAACUCUUCAAAUAUUAUAACAAAUCUAGCUAGCAAUCUUAUAGCGUAAAAAAAAGGGAGAAAUAUAUUAAACUUACUGCUAUGGGGAUGUUGCGAUGCCGCUUAACUUAUACAUGGUAUAUUUCUCCUAUGGUUGAGAGUUGGAAGAGGUUAUCAGAGUGAUGGAAUAUUUUGUGAACAACGACAGCUUAGAGCUCUCAAUGCUCUCAAUUUUACUGACAAGGAAACCAGUUUUUGAUGAAAUCCAUUGUUUCAAAAUUAUAGUUCUAAAAGCAAGUGAGAGAGU